rnacentral:rRNA from 1 species
UACGUAGGUGGCGAGCGUUGUCCGGAAUUACUGGGCAUAAAGGGCGUGUAGGCGGCCUUUUAAGUCAGAUGUGAAAUCUCAGGGCUUAACCCUGAAACUGCAUUUGAAACUGGAGGGCUUGAGGAUCGGAGAGGGCAGUGGAAUUCCCAGUGUAGCGGUGAAAUGCGUAGAUAUUGGGAGGAACACCAGUGGCGAAGGCGACUGCCUGGACGACACCUGACGCUGAGGCGCGAAAGCUAGGGUAGCGAACGGGAUUAGAUACCCGGGUAGU